CGAACAACCCCUGCUGCUGCGGUAUCCAAAUCUCAGUUUCUCUCUUUACUCAAGACUUCCUCCUCCUCUUAACUUAGGUUGGUGUAAUGUAAAGAGCGUGGUUGCUGGGGCACUGAGGUAUGUUGCGUCGUGAUGAGACUUGACAUUUCCAGCUCUGCUCUGGUGACUAAAUGAUUCAUGUUCUGUGACCAGGCAGGCAAGCUCUCUCUAUGUCAGAGAAUCAACAGCACCACUUUAAGUCAGAACUGAUCUGAGCCGAGACACAGUAGCAAGGAACACACACGGAACACACACAGACGGUAUAAAACACACUCUGCAGGCUGCCCAGACACACCACCAGGGUUUCCCCACCCACCACCCCAGCCCCGGGGCCAGUGAAGGAGUGGAUUUGGGUACACUCUGAGGGAGAGUGAAAACCACAGGGUGGAAAACCACACUGUCCUUCGUCAUCGGCCUACUGCACCAGCUCCCAAUCUGAAACCAAAGACCCAGUACACGUUUCUGCCUCAUGCCUGACGCCCCCUCCUCCUCCUCACGCCUUUAUUUUAGCAGCUGAAACUGAACAAUAUCAUUAGAACAGAAGCGAGAAAGACAGAGGCAGACAGAGAAAGAGACAGACAGAUGGAGACCAAUCUGUAUUAUCGUCAAACAACUUGCUGUUUUCCAAGAAAUCUGUGAGCUCACAGGAGGAGGUGGGGAGAGAAAAGUAGAUGGGGAGAGAACGAUAGACGGGAGAGAAAGAGAGAGAGAAAGAGAGAUGAGAGGAAAGAUAGGAAGAGAGAGGGAGAUGGUGAGAAAGAUGUAGAGAGAGAGAAACAGAGAGAGCAGAGGCUCAAUAUGUUGAAACGUGCGCCAGAUAACCAGAGCGAAACGGUCGGUUCAGACCUACCAGGAUGGUUGCCAUGGCAACCAUUACCAGGCUCUCUCGCACUGUUGCUUUGUUGCUGUGAAGCCUUUGGAGGGAAACGACUGACUGCGAGAGGAGAGGAGAGAAGAGAAGAG
rnacentral:lncRNA from 1 species